rnacentral:rRNA from 1 species
AUUGAACGCUGGCGGCAUGCCUUACACAUGCAAGUCGAACGGUAACAGGUCUUCGGAUGCUGACGAGUGGCGAACGGGUGAGUAAUACAUCGGAACGUGCCUAGUAGUGGGGGAUAACCACUCGAAAGAGUGGCUAAUACCGCAUGAGAUCUACGGAUGAAAGCAGGGGAUCGCAAGACCUUGUGCUACUAGAGCGGCCGAUGGCAGAUUAGGUAGUUGGUGGGAUAAAAGCUUACCAAGCCGACGAUCUGUAGCUGGUCUGAGAGGACGAUCAGCCACACUGGGACUGAGAAACGGCCCAGACUCCUACGGGAGGCAGCAGUGGGGAAUUUUGGACAAGGGGCGCAAGCCUGAUCCAGCAAUGCCGCGUGCGGGAUGAAGGCCUUCGGGUUGUAAACUGCUUUUGUACGGAACGAAAAGCCCCGGGUUAAUACCCUGGGGUCAUGACGGUACCGUAAGAAUAAGCACCGGCUAACUACGUGCCAGCCGCCGCAGUAA